AUUCAUCUGACAAGUCCCAAAUAGGAUGAAACGAGCGUGUUGGAU
rnacentral:hammerhead_ribozyme from 1 species